GACGGAGGGUGCAAGCGUUGUUCGGAAUUACUGGGCGUAAAGCGCGUGUAGGCGGCUCGCUAAGUCUGAUGUGAAAUCCCGGGGCUCACCUCCGGAAGUGCAUUGGAAACUGGCGAGCUCGAGUCCCGGAGAGGAGGGUGGAAUUCCUGGUGUAGCGGUGAAAUGCGUAGAUAUCAGGAGGAACACCGGUGGCGAAGGCGGCCCUCUGGACGGUGACUGACGCUGAGACGCGAAAGCGUGGGGAGCAAACAGG
rnacentral:rRNA from 1 species